GGGGCCGAUCGGUUUCGACCGGACAGGGAAGGCUUGACGUGGCGCGUCGAGGGGCGUGCUGGCCUCGUAAAAAGCACGCACACUUUAUAACUGCCAACAACAGCGGUUAUGCUCUCGCAGCCUAAUUAGGUUUGCGCAAACACCGCCCCACGCCCGAUAGGGCGGUGUUUGAACGACAUCGGGCUGGCUCCAAUGCGGCGUCUCGGCGUUGCGGAGUGAGAUAUGACCGAGACUGGACCAAAGGAAGGGUGUCGCUGCCCGUCCGGCGGUUGAGAUGAAACCAGUGACUACACUCGUAGAAGCGUCUUGCUGACUGUCACGGGACGGGGGUUCGAUUCCCCCCGGCUCCAU
rnacentral:tmRNA from 1 species